rnacentral:rRNA from 1 species
UACAGAGGGGGCAAGCGUUGUUCGGAAUUACUGGGCGUAAAGGGCUCGUAGGCGGCCAACUAAGUCCGACGUGAAAUCCCCAGGCUUAACCUGGGAACUGCGUCGGAUACUGGAUGGCUUGAAUUCGGGAGAGGGAUGCAGAAUUCCAGGUGUAGCGGUGAAAUUCGUAGAUAUUCGCAAGAACACCAGUGGCGAAGGCGGCUCACUGGCCCGAUACUGACGCUGAGGUGCGAAAGCGUGGGGAGCAAACAGG